GUGGGGAAUUUUGGACAAUGGGCGCAAGCCUGAUCCAGCAAUGCCGCGUGCAGGAAGAAGGCCUUCGGGUUGUAAACUGCUUUUGUACGGAACGAAAAGGCUCUGGUUAAUACCUGGGGCUCAUGACGGUACCGUAAGAAUAAGCACCGGCUAACUACGUGCCAGCAGCCGCGGUAAUACGUAGGGUGCAAGCGUUAAUCGGAAUUACUGGGCGCAAAGCGUGCGCAGGCGGUUUUGUAAGACAGGCGUGAAAUCCCCGGGCUCAACCUGGGAAUGGCGCUUGUGACUGCAAGGCUGGAGUGCGGCAGAGGGGGAUGGAAUUCCGCGUGUAGCAGUGAAAUGCGUAGAUAUGCGGAGGAACACCGAUGGCGAAGGCAAUCCCCUGGGCCUGCACUGACGCUCAUGCACGAAAGCGUGGGGAGCAAACAGGAUUAGAAACCCGAGUAGUCC
rnacentral:rRNA from 1 species